GCCUACACAUGCAAGUCGAACGGUAGCACAGAAGAGCUUGCUCUCGGGUGACGAGUGGCGGACGGGUGAGUAAUGUCUGGGAAACUGCCUGAUGGAGGGGGAUAACUACUGGAAACGGUAGCUAAUACCGCAUAACGUCGCAAGACCAAAGAGGGGGACCUUCGGGCCUCUUGCCAUCAGAUGUGCCCAGAUGGGAUUAGCUAGUAGGUGGGGUAACGGCUCACCUAGGCGACGAUCCCUAGCUGGUCUGAGAGGAUGACCAGCCACACUGGAACUGAGACACGGUCCAGACUCCUACGGGAGGCAGCAGUGGGGAAUAUUGCACAAUGGGCGCAAGCCUGAUGCAGCCAUGCCGCGUGUAUGAAGAAGGCCUUCGGGUUGUAAAGUACUUUCAGCGGGGAGGAAGGUGUUGUGGUUAAUAACCNCAGCAAUUGACGUUACCCGCAGAAGAAGCACCGGCUAACUCCGUGCCAGCAGCCGCGGUAAUACGGAGGGUGCAAGCGUUAAUCGGAAUUACUGGGCGUAAAGCGCACGCAGGCGGUCUGUCAAGUCGGAUGUGAAAUCCCCGGGCUCAACCUGGGAACUGCAUUCGAAACUGGCAGGCUAGAGUCUUGUAGAGGGGGGUAGAAUUCCAGGUGUAG
rnacentral:rRNA from 1 species